rnacentral:rRNA from 1 species
GCGAGGGUGCAAGCAUUGAUCGGAAUUACUGGGCGUAAAGGGCGCGUAGGCGGUUUUAUAAGUCGGAUGUGAAAUUCCGGGGCUCAACCCCGGAGCUGCAUUUGAAACUAUAAGACUAGAGGAUAGUUAGGGAAAACGGAAUUCCACGUGUAGCGGUGAAAUGCGUAGAUAUGUGGAAGAACACCAGUGGUGAAGACGGUUUUCUGGGCUAUAACUGACGCUGAGGCGCGAAAGCUAGGGGAGCAAACAGGAUUAGAUACCCUGGUAGUCCUAGCCUUAAACGAUGCAUACUAGAUGUAGGUGGGCUCAACCCCUCCUGUAUCGAAGCUAACGCAUUAAGUAUGCCGCCUGGGGAGUACGGCCGCAAGGUUG